AUACGGAGGGGGCUAGCGUUGUUCGGAUUUACUGGGCGUAAAGCGCGCGUAGGCGGUAUAUCAAGUUAGGCGUGAAAGCCCCGGGCUCAACCCGGGAACUGCGCUUAUUACUGAUAAACUAGAGUCCGGGAGAGGGUGGCGGAAUUCCCAGUGUAGAGGUGAAAUUCGUAGAUAUUGGGAAGAACACCAGUUGCGAAGGCGGCCACCUGGACCGGUACUGACGCUAAGGUGCGAAAGCGUGGGGAGCAAACAGGAUUAGAAACCCCGGUAGUCC
rnacentral:rRNA from 1 species